rnacentral:lncRNA from 1 species
AUGGGGAUGCUGUUGUGGCAAGAGGAGAGGACAGGCUUGCCCAAAGGAUGAGGAACUGUGGAGCAGUUCUCAAGGAAACCCCAGUGACCAGACCGAUUCAGCAGAGCUUUUUCUUCAUCUAUGGACUCAAAAUUCUGUGCGACUCUCCAUUGUGACAGCUUUGCACAAAUGGGAAUCCAUAGCAAAUGUGCUGAGCAUAACCUGCAACGAAGUGAAGCCCAAACCAAACAAGUAAACAAAACAAACAAACAAGAAACCCACAUACUUUUCAGCAAUGCGUAGAUGGGCAGGAGAAUACCUUCCAGGAGCCAAGGUGUGUAGAGUCCAGGAUGAGUGGCAGAAAUCCUUUUGUUUGGGGAACAGAAAAUAAGUGAGAACCACAGGAUACAACACUGAUGGAAGAGAUCCAAUGCAGAAUCUGCUUCUGAAGAGGAAAGCCCACCUACUCUCAAAGUGAGUCCUUUUAAAGAAAGGAAAUAUGAGAGAACUUCCAAGAGUAAUCCAGUUUCUCCUAAACAUCAAGACGGAUCGUGUGAGUCACUCUCUGGAGAGCGACCUCACCUUGGUGACUAAGUGAAGAUCUUCAAUAAAAGAAUCACAUUUCUUUAAGAAAAAAAAAAC